GACGAACGCUGGCGGCGCGCUUAACACAUGCAAGUCGAGCGAAGAGGCAGACGGGUAAGUAACACGAGAGUAACCUGCCUUAGACAUUUGGAUAGCCUCGGGAAACCGGGAUUAAUACCAAAUGGUAUAAGAUGGACUCGGGUCCCAUUAGCUAGUUGGGAGGUCACGGCCCACCAAGGCGACGAUGGGUAGCCGGCCUGAGAGUGGGAACGGUCACAUUGGAACUGAGAAACGUUCCAACCUCUACGGGAGGCAGCAGUGGGGAAUAUUGCCCAAUGGAGGGAACUCUGAUGCAGCGACGCCGCGUGAACGAAGAAGGCUUUCGAUUCGUAAAGUUCUUUUAUAUGGGAAGCGGUACCAUAAGAAAAAGCCACGGCUAACUACGUGCCAGCAGCCGCGGUAAUAC
rnacentral:rRNA from 1 species